AUGUGUCCAUUUCGAACUUUCUUCUCCGCGACAGACGGUGGGUAGAAUUAGGGUUAGCUGUUGUUUUCUGUCUCUGCGAUGAACGAGCUCAAGCAACAAUGAAGAUCAAAUCGAGCAUCCGAAUCGUCCUCGAGAACCAAGCAGCUGUCGUUUCGUAUUUGGUACUUAACCCCCAGACGUUAUGAGUUUUCUUCAUUCAUUGGCUUUAAGAGAUAUCUUAACUCCACGGACGAGAAUCAAGCACGACGUCUCAUACAAUGAUAUCAUCCAACUCCAAAGCGGUUUCUUUACCUAUAAAAAGGGACCAUCUCCAGGCUGGUUCACCGGUGCAGCCAGAACUUCAGGCUUUCAGACUCACUUCUGACAAUCUGGUUCAGUGAUUCAACCAGUCUAGAUGUGCUAAUCUCCCGUCCCUGAAGAACGUCAGAUAAUAAAUUAAGAUGUUCAUAAUCUCUCGGACGUUAUUAGUGAGCUCACUGCUGUGAGAAGUACAGUGAGUGACAUUCCUCAAGGAAAAGAUAGAGUUAUGACAACUAUCAAGAUCGACGGUAACUCUCUCUAUAUUUGAAUUUAUUCAAUACUUUCAUAAAUUUUCUUACUUUUCUUUUGAAUAUGUCAUUGAUUUUUUUAUGUUCUGUUUUUCUUUUCACACUCAUAUCACUGUCACUUUGAGUCUGUUUGACUCACAAGCUGUUAUUUUCACAAGAAGCUUGAAGGAUUCUGGGGAGAUUCAAGGGUUGUUGUUGCAAAUAGCAUAAAACCAAAGAUGGACGUUGUUUUUAAAUGCCACAUCGGGAACACAUGUAUCUUUCGACAACGAAACUGAUGCAGAGAAUUCUACUUUUUACGAGCUGGUUUCCAAAGACCUAGGAACACCCAUGUUCCUUCAUUUCUUAGAGGCUAUGCAAAGGUUGAGCCUCUUCCUAUAGCUGAGCUCAAUGAGUUCGUCAUCAUUUCGGAGCCUCAGAACACUGAAUGGUGACUGAUAUCAAAAUGGAGAAAGACUGGUGUUACGUCUCUUGCUCUAGGUGCAUGAAGAAGCUCCACCGAACGGUCUCAUCCUUUACUUGCGUGAACUGAAAUAUCUUGGUUUGCUCAGAUACCAUGUGGAGAUGAGCAUUGCUGAUGACACUGUUGAAGGGUGUCUUUGUUGGAUUCGAUUAGUGGUGAGAUGACAAAACUACAUAACGUGAGGGCCUAUGAGGCUGGUAAUUUAAUUGUAGGAACAUCUCUAAGUGGUAUCGCCAUCAAGAAACCUCAGGCAUCAAAGUCUUUAAAGGUGAUGAAGAAGCUAAGGGUUGUGAUGCAGAUGGAGUACUUGCUAUUUCAAAAAUGAUUAUGUAUUAACGGUGGUUUUUAUUUUAAAAUAUGUUCUCUUAUGUAGUUUGGUAUGGUUUAUUAAAAGUCUAAAACUAUAAUAAAAAUGCUUUUUUGGAGAUU